AAGCCUGAUCCAGCAAUGCCGCGUGAGUGAUGAAGGCCUUAGGGUUGUAAAGCUCUUUUACCCGGGAUGAUAAUGACAGUACCGGGAGAAUAAGCUCCGGCUAACUCCGUGCCAGCAGCCGCGGUAAUACGGAGGGAGCUAGCGUUGUUCGGAAUUACUGGGCGUAAAGCGUACGUAGGCGGUUACUCAAGUCAGAGGUGAAAGCCCGGGGCUCAACCCCGGAACUGCCUUUGAAACUAGGUAGCUAGAAUCUUGGAGAGGUCAGUGGAAUUCCGAGUGUAGAGGUGAAAUUCGUAGAUAUUCGGAAGAACACCAGUGGCGAAGGCGACUGACUGGACAAGUAUUGACGCUGAGGUGCGAAAGCGUGGGGAGCAAACAGGAUUAGAUACCCUAGUAGUCC
rnacentral:rRNA from 1 species